GAUAUCUGUGUAAAAUAAAAUACAUGUAUUGUAAUUUAUUAAAUGUAUGAAAGAGUAAUUAUCUAUAUUAUUGUUAUUAAAUUUGGUAUCGACGGAAAUUUCUGCAGUUGAAUUUGUGCUUUUUUAUGGUUUCGACUUUUUUAUUGCCAAGUAUCGGGAUAAAUAAAUUUAUCUAUAUCAUUCGAAUGUCAUUUAAAUUACGCGGGAAAAUGCGAUCGUAUAUUUUCUUUAAAUAAAUUAAUAUUUUAAUGAAGUAAAAAAAAAAUAUCAAACGACUCAUAAAAAAAUUAACCGUCUGUAGAUUUUUUUGCAAAUCUCAUAAUUAAACAAUCACCGAAAUCAAUAAGUUUUAAUACUCGGGCAGAGACGUAAUGACUGUGGGUUGCUCGUUUAAUAUUAAAACUACCUCAUUUCGUGGGCAAGAAGAAUGUCAUCUUUGUCUGCUCCGAAAUCAACGAGGAAGUUUGGAUCCAGCUUCAUUCCACCGUUAUCGACGUCAAUGUCAAGCUUUACCAUCGUCGACCCAUGUCUAUAAAUAGAUUAACUUAUUGGUAGACAGUAUGAUUAAUAAUUGCUGAAGAUCAAAGAGGCAAAUUAAUAAUUACUUGACUUGUUCAGGAUAAAAUUCCCUAUCCCAGGGCUUCAAGAGUGAAGUAGUGACAUAAAGUCUCCGGCCAUCGAGACUCAAUUGAAGCAUCUGUGGAGCGCCAUAGAGUCUGCGUCCUUUUACGAUUACUGGUUCAGGUUGACUCGACAACUCUUUGUCCUCGAUUACACGGACCUUGGAGUCAGAGAGUAUCGAACCACCCAAGAACACUUGACCAACUAAUCGGGGCUUUUUUCGAUCUGUUAUAUCGUACUGUCUUACGUCACCGUGCAGCCAAUUGGUAAAAUAUAAAUAUUUAUCAUCCAGACUCAGUAAAAUGUCAGUAAUCAUUCCUAAAAAAAAUAAAUAAAUAAUUUAUGAAUAAAUUAUUAAAUUUAAUAACGUAAAUGUAAAUAUUAUUUAUUCUAACCAGACAUGCUUGGACCUAUCCACCCGUCGACUUUUUUUUCUGGCAAAUCGAUAACUUUAUCAGCGGCCCAUUUACCAUCAUCAGUUUUAUAAAACCUGAAUAUAUUUGAUGAGACAGCA